rnacentral:rRNA from 1 species
ACGUAGGAGGCAGCGUUAUCCGGAAUUACUGGGCGUAAAGCGUGCGCAGGCGGUUCGCUAAGACAGGUGUGAAAUCCCCGGGCUUAACCUGGGAAUGGCGUUUUGAACUGGCAGUCCAGAGUGCGUCAGAGGGGGGUGGAAUUCCACGUGUAGCAGUGAAAUGCGUAGAGAUGUGGAGGAACACCGAUGGCGAAGGCAGCCCCCUGGGAUGACACUGACGCUCAUGUACGAAAGCGUGGGUAGCAAACAG